rnacentral:rRNA from 1 species
CAGUAGCCGCGGUAAUACGAAGGGUGCAAGCGUUAAUCGGAAUUACUGGGCGUAAAGCGUGCGUAGGCGGUCUGUUAAGUCUGUUGUGAAAUCCCCGGGCUCAACCUGGGAAUGGCAAUGGAUACUGGCAAGCUAGAGUGUGUCAGAGGAUGGUGGAAUUCCCGGUGUAGCGGUGAAAUGCGUAGAGAUCGGGAGGAACAUCAGUGGCGAAGGCGGCCAUCUGGGACAACACUGACGCUGAGGCACGAGAGCGUGGGGAGCAAACAGGAUUAGAUACCCCAGUAGUCCCUGUCUCUUAUAC